rnacentral:rRNA from 1 species
CUGGCGGCGUGCUUAACACAUGCAAGUCGAACGGAGUGGUCUCCCGAGGAUUGACGGUGCUUGCACCUGAUUGACUCAUUGAAUCACUUAGGUGGCGGACGGGUGAGUAACGCGUGGGUAACCUGCCUCACACUGGGGGAUAGCAGUUGGAAACGACUGAUAAUACCGCAUAAGCGCACAGUAUCGCAUGGUACAGUGUGAAAAACUCCGGUGGUGUGAGAUGGACCCGCGUCUGAUUAGCUAGUUGGUGAGGUAACGGCCCACCAAGGCGACGAUCAGUAGCCGGCCUGAGAGGGUGUACGGCCACAUUGGGACUGAGACACGGCCCAAACUCCUACGGGAGGCAGCAGUGGGGAAUAUUGGACAAUGGGGGAAACCCUGAUCCAGCGACGCCCGCGUGAGUGAAGAAGUAUCUCGGUAUGUAAAGCUCUAUCAGCAGGGAAGAUAAUGACGGUACCUGACUAAGAAGCACCGGCUAAAUACGUGCCAGCCGCUGC